GCUCUAAUAGCGUAUAUUAAUGUUGUUGCAGUUAAAAAGCUCGUAGUUGGAUUUUGGUGUUCGACAAUGGUCUGCUUCGGUUUGUACUGUUUGUUGGCGCUUCUUUUCUGGGGACUCACUGCUCUUAACUGAGGGGUGUUGUAACGCAGAUCGUUUACUUUGAAAAAUUAGAAGUGUUCAAGCAGGCCAACGCAUUUGAA
rnacentral:rRNA from 1 species